rnacentral:rRNA from 1 species
AUUGAACGCUGGCGGCAGGCCUAACACAUGCAAGUCGAGCGAGCGGCGGACGGGUGAGUAAUGUAUGGGAAUCUGCCCGAUAGAGGGGGAUACCUACUGGAAACGGUAGCUAAUACCGCAUACUAUCGGAUGAACCCAGAUGGGAUUAGCUAGUAGGUGGGGUAAAGGCUCACCUAGGCGACGAUCUCUAGCUGGUCUGAGAGGAUGAUCAGCCAAACUGGGACUGAGACACGGCCCAGACUCCUACGUGAGGCAGCAGUGGGGAAUAGUGCACAAUGGGCGCAAGCCUGAUGCAGCCAUGCCGCGUGUAUGAAGAAGGCCUUAGGGUUGUAAAGUACUUGCAGCGGGGAGGCGUUACCCGCAGAAGAAGCACCGGCUAACUCCGUGCCAGCAGCCGCGGUAAUUC